UUUUAGGUUAUUAAAUGCAAGGCUGCUGUUGCCUGGGAGGCAGGUAAACCUCUUUCUAUUGAGGAGGUGGAGGUUGCUCCACCAAAAGCUCAUGAAGUUCGUAUCAAGAUAGUUGCCACUGCUGUCUGUCACACUGAUGCCUAUACACUGAGUGGUGCUGAUCCUGAAGGAUGUUUCCCUGUGAUCCUGGGACAUGAAGGAGCAGGAAUUGUAGAGAGUGUUGGGGAAGGAGUAACAAAAGUAAAGAAGGGGGACACUGUUAUCCCUCUAUACAUCCCUCAGUGUGGAGAGUGCAAGUUCUGUAAGAAUCCUAAAACAAACCUGUGCCAGAAGAUAAGGUGUGUAUAACUUUGACACAUGCUAUAGUAUUUGUUCAGUGUAUACCUGCUGUAGUUAGCAAAAGUAAUUGACAGGAGUUUUCAUUGAAGAAUCAAUCUGUUGAUGCAUCAUUUAAUGACUUGGAAAGUAGGUGUUUCAGGAGUCAGGCAAUUUUUUUCUUUAAAAAAGUCUUCCUUAAAAAUUCUAUUCUUCCCUCAAAUAAAACUGUUUCUCUCUUUUCAUGUAUAUUAAGGUGCAAACUACUACCUCGUGUCCACAGGUUGGAAAACAUAAAUGCUCUGACUCCAUAUUUAAUCCAUACUGAAGGGAAGCACUUCAGGGAAUUUAGCUGUUAGGAGUGAACACCAAAGCUUUCAAGUGGUAAAAAUUGUAUGGACAGCUCUUUUUUUUCCUUAACACCUGCUUCCCAGAUAAAUUUGCAGCUCCUGUUCUGAAAAAAAAAAUCUCCCAAACUCAAAAAAAGCCCUAAUGACAUAACUGAUGUGUGUUAUUCAAAGGGAGGAUACUGAAGGAGGCUAAGUGGUGUGGUGCUGUGGCACAAGCAGUUAGCCUUGGUAACUAACAAGGUCAACAUGUGAAUAAAGUCCAUUUCUUUCAGUUUUUCCCUGGAGGAAUUAACUGCAUGAAGUUUUAGGAGUUUAGCAUCUCACUUCUGUGAACUUCUAGGGUUAUUGAAGUGGUCAAA